GACGAACGCUGGCGGCGUGCCUAAUACAUGCAAGUCGAGCGAAGAUUUUCUGGUGCUUGCACCGGAAAAACUGAGCGGCGAAUGGGUGAGUAACACGUAAAGAACCUGCCUCAUAGACUGGGACAACUAUUGCAAAGGAUAGCUAAUACCAGAUAACAGCAUUAAAUGCAUGGUUGAGGAUAGAAUGUUGGUUUUGCUAACACCAUGAGGUGUCUUUGCGUUGUAUUAGCUAGGUGGUGGGGUAAAGGCCUACCAAGGCGACGAUGCAUAGACGACGUGAGAGAGUGAUCGGCCACCUGAGAACUGAGACGCGGCCCUGACUACUGCGGGACGCAGCAGUAGGGUAUGUGCCGCAAUGGGCGAGAGUCUGACGGAACAGCGCCGCGUGAGUGAAGGAAGCUUUCGGUUCGUAAAGCUGUGUUGUGAGGGAAGAAUGGUUAUGUAGUAACAAUACAUAGUAGAGACGGUACCUAGCAAGGAAGCAACGGCUAACUACGUG
rnacentral:rRNA from 1 species